UCCGUGGAGGAUGAGUGGUUAGGCCACGGCGCUCUCAUCGCCGCGGCCCGGGUUCGAUUCCUGGCCAGGGAA